GGAGAGGCAGGGAGGGGCUGGCAGGUGACAUGCAGUACCUCCAACUGGCCAUGCCCCUCCCAGAGACACUGGUGUUUCCGUCAAAGCCACGGUCUCAGCAAAAGGGUUCUCAGCUGGUGGAACUGAGGCAGAGUCGUGCCAGAUGGGGCCCAGGUGUCCUUCCCCACAGAGCUCUGUCCGUGCCCACCAGCGACAUCUCUCUCUGCACGGGGUGGAGGGAGCCCUGGCUUGUGGGUGUGGGGGCUGGGGAGAAAGACUUAGCUUCUGGCCAGGGCCACUUGGGACCUGCUAGGUGACCUGGGGUGAGUCUGACCCCAUUUGGAGAGCUAGAGGCUCAGACUUUGUCAAAAACAGCAGGUGAUAGUCAAAAGCAGAUGCUGCCAAACCAAGAAUAAUCAUAAAAAUAAACAGGCAGACAGUUCCCCCAGUCAUGGCUAUUUUAGCCCUGGAAGGCCAUGAGGGCCACCCCGUCUGGGGUGCAGGCUCAAGCACACACAGACCCGCGGGCACACAUGCGGCCUCAGGGCCUCGAGAAUCCCCCUGGGCACAAACUCCUGGUCCAGAGAUGCCUAAUCCAGCCCCUCUCUCCCCAGCCUGCGCUGCGCUCCACUCCGGCCUGCCCUGGGUCCUGCCAGCUUACCUGGGUCUGAUUCCCAGCCCCACCAGCUCCAUGCUGGGUAACCGUGAGGACACCACUCACCCCUCUGGGCCUCGGUUCCUCAUCUGUAACAGCUGGGACUGCUGUGUGGAUGCUCAGAGCCCCUCUGUGGGGAAAAGGCUGGGCCCAUCCUCCACACCUCCACAGGCAGCACACAGGGUCCUGAGCCAGACCCCCAGGCAGGCUCAACAGUCACCCUGGGCCACCUGCUGCCCUGGGGCCGGGGCCACUCUGCUGCCUGGUCUCACAUGUGGCACGACGGAGGCAGACAGUCUGCUGGGCAGCCAAGAGAGAACUCCCAGGUUGGGGGUGGGUUUGAGAGGAGCCCAGGGAAGUAAGGACACAGCCCUGCCCACCCACCUGCCAAGGAGGGAGGCUGGCAUGACCCUGGUGCCCCCCUGGAGACCUCUGGGUAGGUGCCAGCACCCCAAGUCCGGGGAUCUGGCCUUCCAUGGCCAGGUGCCCAGCAGAAAUUCAACAAGCUGUGGGUGGGGGCAGGGAGGCAGCAGCCCCCAUCAGUGCUCUGGGCACGGAGUGGUGGUGUGGCCAUUGGGAUGUAUGGAGCAGGAAUCCCCGGGGAGGGGACAAGGUCAAAUAACGUCCAUGCUCGAUGCUCAUUGCCACCCCUUGGAAGGUUCCCAGGACUGUGAGCUUCACAAAGGCUCUGAGAAGUCCUGUGCUGAGCACACGUGUUGGCCCUGGCCUCUCCCCGCCUGUGAGCAGGCUGGACCAGACAGGGCCCCAUCCAGGUGCCAAAACCAGGAGCCUCCAGUGCUCCUAUGUCACACAUCUCCCGUGUUGGGGUAUCUGCGGUGUUUCUCACUUAGUCCAGAUACCCUGCCUGAUUUCAUCCAUUCAUUCAACAAGUAUGGUUCCCAAAGUCCCAGCUGAGGGAACUGGGGCUCCCAGUGAUGAAAUGAUUUGCCCGAGGCCUCGAAGGUGGCGGGUGGUAGAACUGGCUUGCAAACCAAAGACCAUUGCCAUCAAGAGUGGUGAUGGGACCAGGUGCAAUAGCUCACGCCUGUAAUCCCAGUACUUUGGGAGGCCAACGUGGGUGGAUCACUUGAGACCAGGAGUUUGAGACUAGCCUGGCCAACACGGUGAAACCCCAUCUCUACCAAAAAUACAAAAAUUAGCCAGGUGUGGCGUGGGCACCUGUAAUCCCAGCUACUCCGGAGGCUGAGGCAUGAGAAUCACUUGAACCCAGGAAAUGGAGGUUGCAGUGAGCCGAGAUUUCACCACUGCACUCCGUCUCCAAAAAAAAAACAACAAAAAAAAGAAAAA
ensembl:lncRNA